rnacentral:snRNA from 1 species
UUACUUUGGCAGUACAUAUACUAAAAGUGGAAUGAUACAAAGAAGAUUAGCAUGGCCACUGCGUAAGGAGGACACACAAAUCCAUGAAGCAUUCCAUAUCUUU